UGGGGAAUAUUGCACAAUGGGCGCAAGCCUGAUGCAGCCAUGCCGCGUGUGUGAAGAAGGCCUUCGGGUUGUAAAGCACUUUCAGCGAGGAGGAAGGUGGUGAACUUAAUACGUUCAUCAAUUGACGUUACUCGCAGAAGAAGCACCGGCUAACUCCGUGCCAGCAGCCGCGGUAAUACGGAGGGUGCAAGCGUUAAUCGGAAUUACUGGGCGUAAAGCGCACGCAGGCGGUUUGUUAAGUCAGAUGUGAAAUCCCCGGGCUCAACCUGGGAACUGCAUUUGAAACUGGCAAGCUAGAGUCUCGUAGAGGGGGGUAGAAUUCCAGGUGUAGCGGUGAAAUGCGUAGAGAUCUGGAGGAAUACCGGUGGCGAAGGCGGCCCCCCUGGACGAAGACUGACGCUCAGGUGCGAAAGCGUGGGGCAGCAAACAGGAUUAGAUACCCUGGUAGUCCACGCUGUAAACGAUGUCGAUUUUGGAGGUUGUGCCCUUGAGGCGUGGCUUCCGGAGCUAACGCGUUAAAUCGACCGCCUGGGGAGUACGG
rnacentral:rRNA from 1 species